GACGAACGCUGGCGGCGUGCCUAACACAUGCAAGUCGAACGAGGCUGAUCUGGUGGCAACACCAGUGACUGCCUAGUGGCGAACGGGUGAGUAACACGUGAGGAACCUGCCCCGAAGACCGGGAUAACCCUCCGAAAGGAGAGCUAAUACCGGAUACCCCCACCUGAUCGCAUGAUCGGAUGAGGAAAUGGAUUCCGCUUCGGGAGGGCCUCGCGGCCUAUCAGCUAGUUGGUGGGGUAACGGCCCACCAAGGCAUCGACGGGUAGCUGGUCUGAGAGGACGAUCAGCCACACUGGGACUGAGACACGGCCCAGACUCCUACGGGAGGCAGCAGUGGGGAAUCUUGCGCAAUGGGCGAAAGCCUGACGCAGCAACGCCGCGUGGGGGAUGAAGGCUCUCGGGUUGUAAACCCCUUUCAGCAGGGACGAAUCAAGACGGUACCUGCAGAAGAAGCCCCGGCUAACUACGUGCCAGCAGCCGCGGUAACACGUAGGGGGCAAGCGUUGUCCGGAUUUAUUGGGCGUAAAGAGCUCGUAGGCGGCUGAGUAAGUCGGGUGUUAAAUCCCCAGGCUCAACCUGGGACACCACUCGAUACUGCUCUGGCUAGAGUCCGGUAGGGGAGCGUGGAAUUCCUGGUGUAGCGGUGAAAUGCGCAGAUAUCAGGAGGAACACCAGCGGCGAAGGCGGCGCUCUGGGCCGGAACUGACGCUGAGGAGCGAAAGCGUGGGUAGCAAACAGG
rnacentral:rRNA from 1 species